rnacentral:rRNA from 1 species
CCUACGGGUGGCAGCAGUGAGGAAUAUUGGUCAAUGGCCGGAAGGCUGAACCAGCCAUGCCGCGUGAAGGUCAGUGCCCUAUGGGCGUUAAACUUCUUUUGUGCGGGAGCAAUAAUGGUCACGUGUGGCCAGACGAUAUUACCGUACGAAUAAGCAUCGGCUAACUCCGUUCCAGCAGCCGCGGUAAUACGGGUGAUGCAAGCGUUAUCCGGAAUUUUUGGGGUUAAAGGGUGCGUAGGCUGGGAGGUAAGGCAGCGGUGAAAUGCCCCCGCUCAACGGGGUGAAGUGCCAUUGAUACUGCCUUGCUGGAAUGCGGAUGACGUGGGAGGAAUGUGUGGUGUAGCGGUGAAAUGCAUAGAUAUCACACAGAACACCGAUUGCGAAGGCAUCUCACGAAUCCGCGAUUGACGCUGAUGCACGAAAGCGUGGGUAUCAAACAGGAUUAGAUACCCCAGUAGUC